rnacentral:rRNA from 1 species
AAUGAACGUUGGCGGCGUGGAUUAGGCAUGCAAGUCGAACGGGCCGCAAGGCCAGUGGCGGAAGGGUGAGUAAUGCGACGGUAACCAACCCCGGAAAUGGGUAUAGCCGCGGGAAACUGCGGGUAAUCCCCAGCGACGUGUCGGGUCGGCAUCGACCUGACACCAAAGCUCCGGCGUUCCGGGACGGGCCGUUGUGGUAUUAGCUAGUUGGCGGGGUAACGGCCCACCAAGGCUGCGAUGCCUACCGGGCGUGCGAGCGUGGCCCGGCACACUGGGACUGAGACACUGCCCAGACUCCUACGGGAGGCUGCAGUCGAGAAUCUUCGGCAAUGGGCGGCAAGCCUGACCGAGCGACGCCGCCGUGGAGGACGAAGGCCUCGGUUGUAACGUA